UACGUAGGGUGCAAGCGUUGUCCGGAAUCAUUGGGCGUAAAGAGCGUGUAGGCGGCUCGAUUAGUCCGCUGUAAAAGUCCAGGGCUCAACCCUGGGAUGCCGGUGGAAACUGUCGGGCUAGAGUCCGGGAGAGGCGAGUGGAGUUCCUGGUGUAGCGGUGAAAUGCGCAGAUAUCAGGAGGAACACCGGUGGUGAAGGCGGGUCUCUGGGCCGUAACUGACGCUGAGGAGCGAAAGCAUGGGGAGCGAACAGG
rnacentral:rRNA from 1 species